UACGUAGGGGGCAAGCGUUAUCCGGAAUUACUGGGCGUAAAGCGCACGCAGGCGGUCCACCAAGUUUGGGGUGACAGUUGCCGACUUAAUCGGCAAAGUGCCUCAAAGACUGGCGGACUUGAGGGCCACAGAGGGACAUGGAACUCCAGGUGUAGUGGUGAAAUGCGUAGAUAUCUGGAAGAACACCAAAGGCGAAGGCAGUGUCCUGGGUGGUCGCUGACGCUGAGAGGCGAAAGCCAGGGGAGCGAACGGG
rnacentral:rRNA from 1 species